UCUUUACUAUAUAUAUUUUUUUGUUGACUCUGGAAGUUGUGGGGUAUAUGCUCUGUCAUUUUCUGUCUCAUGACUGCUAUUAAGCUCCUUGCUCCCCUGCAACGCAUGCACAGUAACAAGCACACGCGCACUCGCAACCACAAGAGAGAGAGAGAGAGAGAGAAUUGAAGUUAUCAGCUGGAAUAGUUAUGGUGCUGGGAAUGCAGCGUUGGAGAACCCCUCAUAUGAAAAGGGAAUGCCUUAUGCAUGAAGAGGACUAAGUAGUAAUGUGAAAAGCACAGAUUUGAUGGAAAAUGCUUAGUUAGGAUCUGUAUCUCCCAUAUUGAUUUGCAUUGGUGUUGGUGGAUGCACAAAGAACUAAUCAUUAUUGGCAGUUCGCUUGAACCCUAUGAAGUCAGAACAUAAUUUGCAUAAAUUGAAGCUAAAAUUUUAGGCUUUACCAUGGACUUCGGUGUCUGUCUCACCCAAUACAGCCAUACUGACACUAUUUGUACAUUAUACCUCAUCCUUGUAAAGCGGCCUAAGCACUUGAAUGAGUUGAAAUGGAACUUUGUUUCCUUAUGUUGUCUCCCAUGCUAGUCUUUGAGGGUGAGCUAAGUGCAACGGUAAGGUUAUUCACUUGUGACCAGGAGGUCACGGAUUUGAGGUGUGAGACAGCCUGUUGCCAAAAAGCAACACGAAGGCUACAUACCUUUGCUGAACCUCACAUAUGCGGAGCCUUUUGCAGGAGGAUGCCCUUUAUGUCUCCUAUGCUCGUUGAAUGAGGAAAUUGGCUGGGAGUUUUAGGCCAUCAUAAUCCUGAUAUUGUAUUCAUCUGAUGGAACUACUAAUGAAAGUUGAGAUUGGAACGA